rnacentral:lncRNA from 1 species
UAGUCCUGCCCCCUCAUACAGCACUAUUUUCUUAUAUUUCUGAUAUUUUAUAUAUAUAUUUUUUAUACAGCAACUAUAUUCUUUUCUAUCUUUCAGCCUGGACCACAAUAUCAGGCAAUGAUCCAAGUAGUGGGGCAGGAGCCCCUUUCCUGAGGAUUCAUAGCGUGGACUGCCUCCUGCAGGAAAAGGAUGAAAAGCUGCUGAGACUGGAAAAGGAAAUCAGUCGUCUCUCUGGUUUUGAAGCAGAAUCAAAGCAGAAAGAUACAGUGAUAAGGAGUCUUCAGGACAAAAUUGCAGAGAUGGCCAAGACCAUGGCCCAGGCUGCUGCUAGAAGCGAUGUGGAGCUGACCCAAAAGCUUCUAACGUUUGACAGAGAAAUCAGAGCCAAAACAGAAGAGAUUAAAACCUUAAAGGAACAGGUACGCAGUGCCUAAGCAGGCAUACUCGGUCGAAAAUAGUGUUCUGACACAUAUGGGUCUUGAACUGAGCACCUCGUUCGGAGGGAGAGGAGGAGGUAGCAUGUGUGGAAUGAAGGGGAACCAGAGAUGGUUUUAAUCAUUUGCCAUGUUUUGCCCACAUGAUUGCUUGUUCUGUAAUUGUCCCAUAACAAAGCUGG